rnacentral:misc_RNA from 1 species
AGGUGGUGAUGGUGCUGG